GUGAGUCAUCGAAUCUUUGAACGCACAUUGCGCCCCGUGGCAUUCCGCGGGGCAUGCCUGUUCGAGCGUCAUUACAACCCUCAAGCGCGGCUUGGUGUUGGGCGCGGCCUCCGCGGCCGGCCCUAAAGAGAGUGGCGGCGCCGCCGGGCUCCUGAGCGUAGUACAGCCCUCGCUCCAGGCUCCCGCGGCCGCCCGCCAGAACCUACACCCUGUGGUUGACCUCGGAUCAGGUAGGGAUACCCGCUGAACUUAAGCAUAUCAAUAAGCGGAGGA
rnacentral:misc_RNA from 1 species